rnacentral:rRNA from 1 species
GACGAACGCUGGCGGUGUGCUUAACACAUGCAAGUCGAACGGUAAGGCCCUUUCGGGGGUACACGAGUGGCGAACGGGUGAGUAACACGUGAGUAACCUGCCCUCAUCUCUGGGAUAACAGUCGGAAACGGUUGCUAAUACUGGAUAUGAGCUUGCAAGGCAUCUUGUGGGUUGGAAAGAUUUUUUUUGGUUGGGGAUGGACUCGCGGCCUAUCAGCUUGUUGGUGAGGUAGUGGCUCACCAAGGCUUCGACGGGUAGCCGGCCUGAGAGGGCGACCGGCCACAUUGGGACUGAGAUACGGCCCAAACUCCUACGGGAGGCAGCAGUGGGGAAUAUUGCACAAUGGACGGAAGUCUGAUGCAGCAACGCCGCGUGCGGGAUGACGGCCUUCGGGUUGUAAACCGCUUUCAAUUGUGACCAAGCUUUUUUGUGACGGUAGCAGUAGAAGAAGCACCGGCUAACUACGUG